rnacentral:tRNA from 1 species
UCUAAUCUACCAAUAUUAGUUGGACCAUAUUUCGAACAUGGCUGUGAGCAUUUGCUCGAUUAGAU